rnacentral:misc_RNA from 1 species
AACGCAACUUGCGCUUCUGGGUAUCCCUGGAAGCAUGCCCCUUUGAGUAUCGUUUCAACACAAACUCGCCUGCGUGCUUGUGAAUAACGAGCAUACCAGUGCGGAGAAUGAGCGUUUGGCCAUGAAUUUGGCUAAUCGUUUGAAACAUAUCAUAAAAUUCAGUAUCAUCCGUUGAGCAUGUCUCACCUGGUUGAUGUUUGAUAAUUGACUUCGGUCAUUAUACAUCAUUACAUCGACAACAGGAGGUUGUAUUGGUUUUAUGUAUCAAGGAAAUUGUAUCGACUUAUCUUGAUUGAUUCGUCGGUCUGACUUUGAUCUCAGAUGGAGUAAGAAAACCCGCCGAAUUUAA